ensembl:misc_RNA Metazoa_SRP Metazoan signal recognition particle RNA
GUUACCAGGUGAGGUGGCACACACUUGUUGUCCCAGCCACUGAAGAGACUGAGAGGGAGCAUGACUUGAGCCCAGGAGUUCUGGGCUAUGAGAUGCUGUGCCCAAUACAUGUUCACACUAAGUUCAACAUCAAUGUAGUGACUUUCUGGGAGCAGGGGACCACCAAGUUGCCUAAGGAGGGGCAAACUGGACCAGAUUGGAAGCAGAACAGGUCAAAACUCCUGUGCUGAUCAGUGGUGGGAUGGGGCCUGUGAACAGCCACUGCACUCUAGCCCGGGCAACAUAGCAAGACCCUUUCUCU